CACGGACGUGAUCUUGUGCUCCGCGUUUUUGGAAUCACCGAAUCGAACGGAAAAAAAGUGAAAAUCUUGUGGCGUGCGUCUUCUGUUGUGGAAAAUGGUGAUUACGCGCUCGAUCUUCCCGACCCGUUUUGCUUUGGCCUUACCUGGUGUUGAGCGAAUAUCGUCGCCCGCUUGCACAUGCCGCGAAUUAUUUAGCCGUCGACGGAAAGAAUGUUUUGUUUCCAGAAUUCAACGACCGAGGCGGCAAUCGUUCCUGGAAUUGGCUGACGUUGCUGAUUAAGGCAUUGUGCUCGUGCUGCAAAGGGUGUGUAAAACUUUUCGUGUGCGCAGAUUGCUAUUUCGGUCCGUUGCCAAGCCAAGUUCGUUGUGUUCGGUAGUUUUUGUAUCCGCCACUUUAUUCCCGUCGCUGGAAUUUUACGAACGAAUAUGCAGCAGUUUUAAGGGAUUGUGUUUUGCUGGCAACGAUAGGCAUUAUAAUAGAAAAUUGUCGUGUUUGGUUAUUAAUUCAAUCUGUUCCGUGAACAGCCAUAACGAUAUUCCCGCGGUUCGAAAAGCAUUUCUGAGAAAUAAGACGCGUAUAGAAUCAUGGGCAUUGUUUUACAUCAGAUUAGUGUAUUUUGUGUAAAGACAUUUGGUGUGUGAGAUAUGCGCCCGGACGGCGGCGUCUAGUGUUUGGCGUGAAACGUGCAGUUUUGGCGCAUCUGGAUAGCCGACGAUAAGAUGAUGAUUGGUGGUGGCAGCUAACGUACGCCUGUUAAAAAAUUGAUAAUUUGUAAUUUAUCGUGUGGAGCAGAAAUCGCCGUACCUCUCACCUGCAUCAGAAAAUGUUAAGUUUAUUUCGAUCCGGCGACGCGCCUGGCUCACACUUAUUGUGAGUGAUACGAUAAAUAUUCCGAUGGAUCGCAUCAGGAGCGUUCCAUUAUUGAAGAUUGGCCAAAACUAAUGAGAUGUUCUAAAAAAGGGAACUCCAUCGACUGCCACUUGAUUGGUAAAAUGUUCGAAAGGGGGUAACAUAAUUUUAAUUCGCUUUCGAUGUCCGCAUACUAUAUCCUCUCACCCAUUUUUAAGCGCUAGUUCGAGUGUUUUUAACAAUGUUCGACAAUCUUUUCGUAUGUUUGCUUUUAAAAAAUAUGCUAAAGAUUGCCAGAAGUAAAUUGCUAUGCUUUUGCGACGAUGUUUCAAUGCUGUUGAUGAUUUUUUAAACUACUUUAAAAUUUCGAAACGGUACACCAAGACCAUCGGGUUCUUCCUCUUUCUUCGUUCGUUCGUUCGUUCGGGAGGUUUAGGCUUCGCAAGGAUGAGUCAGAGAGAAUCGUUCUUUGUCAAAUCCUCCCCCUAUAUUAAUCGUCCGGCCCCCUUUUAUGCUUGGCCGGACGAUAUCCUUUCUCUCCCUGGGACACGCUUCCCAUUAUCCAUUUGCACGUCACUAUAAUGUGUUACCGCUUAUCACCCGCCUGAAGGUAGGCCACCGCGUAACACCAUCUUUCAGGCAGUUUACGGAUUCCACAUCGGAAAUUUUCAUCCGGUUUGGAUGCAAUCCAUGCGAAUGCGAAAUGCUGGUCAGCCUUAUCAUGCGCCAUCAACCUGAAGAGGUGGUAGUCCGAAAGGGGCCAGGUCCGGAGAGUACGGCGGGUGGGGUAGAACCUCCUAUUUCAGCGUGCGGAGAUACGUUUAGACCGGUUGAGUGACAUGCGGUCGCGCAUUAUUGCCGUGCUGGAGAAGCAGUUGAUCACAGGCGGCGUUCAACAUCCCUUGGCUUCAGUUUGUGGGGCAAUCGGGUUCCAAGCUUCUGCAGCAUUCCCAACGCUUUCAGAUGCCUAGAAAUGGAUGAUUGGUCCACUCCUGGGGGGAUGGCUUGUACGUAGACCGUCUACCCUGCAGCAUGUAUCGAAAUGCUUGGGUAACGGUUCUGCGCAGGGUUGAACUUCUUGCUGAAUUUCUUGCAACUAUUUAUUGGCAGAAGGAUCCGGGAUCACUGGUAUCAAAAUUGUAUGGCAGUCAACCCAUCUGCCAGUAGGUGAUCAGUGUAUUUACUAGAAACUGCAGUAUUCCACAGUAACAUAAGAUAAUAGAUAAUCGACGAUAAUAGAUAAGAGUCAGACUCAACAACACAAUUCUCCCCCAUCCAGUGACAUUCAGGAUAAGGAUGAGUAUUCAGAAUACCGGAUGUGCUUCUUGAUACUUUUGAUACUACAAACUGUAGCGAUUGUGUCCGGGUGCGGUAGAGGGUGCUCCCUACAUACCAUGAGAGGUACCAGCAAGCAAGGACACUGGUAGUACCAGGUUGUUCGAAGCGCCUCUGAGAACAUAUUGUUGCGCGACCGUGAACGUAAUUAUCGCUGGCCACGACAGAAUGCGCUUCACCAAUAGGGCCAUGUGCACUCCCAUCUCGUGGUUUUCCGGCGAGUAUUUGUACUGGCUGUGGUAGCAACGGGUUUAAGCGUACACCCGGAAAUGAUUAUGUCCUUUGUCGUCGGUGCAUAGGACGGGUAUAUUGUAUUUUAGUCGUAGUUCGUUUACAACUGUUUCGUGGUUUGUGUGGUGACACUUUCGAUGGCAAUCGAUACGAUGAGCUCCUCCACCAUGGUCCCAACCUUUGGUAGUAUCAUUGACCUUUUCAUUUCGGGACCGGUAAACGAACAAUUGUCGAUUCUGCUCUUCUUUCUUAUCAAACCGUCUUUGUCCAUAUACGGGUCCUACUAGCCACCGGUCCAUCUGGAGGUGUUGCUUUAGAUUGCUCCAUUUUGUACAUUCGUUCGUGGGUUGGUUUUGUAUCUUCAGCAUCUUUUUCUUUUCGGCGACAGUUGAGCUUGAAACCGAAGGUGUCAGUGUCUCGGUCCCACCCCAUACCAAGGAUCUUGUCCGUACCCGACUCCGGGCUCCCGUCGAUUGCCUUUCGCUGAGCCGUGCUGGAGUCGUUGUCGAAAGCGGACGUAAACGCAGCGGAGUUUGACAGCCAGUUGUGUAGCUGACAGCUCCUCCCAGUUGGUGUAUGUAUUCGACGUUCUUGGCCAGGGUUAUCGCUGCAUGCUCGUAGUCCGUGCUGGCCAGCAUGUCGUCCACGUAAUGCUGCUCCUUGAUGCACCGUCAUAGCGCUUCCGGCAAGCUUUCUGCGACCUUUUCUGCAUUAACAUUUUUCACGUAUUGCGCACAAGCCGGUGAGCAGGUGACCCCGAAAGUCAUCCGGGUCAUCACGUACUCUGGAUGGGCGGACUGGUUCCCCCCAUCUCCACAAGAAACGUGCGAUAUUGAGUCGUAUCCUAACAAACUCCGACUACAUCCAGUGCGCCUCUUGAUACCAUGAUACGAAUUCCUCUAUACCAAAACAUCGAAUGGGGUCCACCAUAUUAUAAGUCUCCUCCUAUCCAAGGGGAAACUUUAUGAAGAUUCCCGAUGCUUUUCGGCGUUGUCUGUAAGAAAUGAUUAUUGUGUCAUGUGAGGCUGUAUUGACUUGCAGAGUGUUGUUGUAAUACCUGCAAUCCGUCCAAUCACCUGUUGACAAUGGAACCAAAUAUUGAAGAUCUAAUCUGUUUAUAUUUCCUCCUAGCAUAACUGUUUCUUAAACUUUGACAUGCUGCUCGCAUUGGAAAUCAUAUUCGUAAUAAGCCAACACAUGCGUCGCAAUAAAUUUCGCGUAAGUGGUGGUUUAAGUUAUAUUUGCCUCAUGGCAUUUGCUAAUUUAAACUAUGCUUGGAAAGAGUUUCUUUCCACCACUGGUAUUAAACUAGUAAGGCAGUGUCAAUCAUGUGUUCUGCAUGGUGAUCUGGCACAUUCUCCUUCUGCUAGUAGGUGAUCAGUGUAUUUACUAGAAACUGCAGUAUUCCACAGUAGGAUAAGAGAAUAGAUAAUUGAAAGAGUCAGUCUAAACAACAUUCUCCCCCAUCCAGUGACAUUCAGGAUAAGGAUGAGUAUUCAGAAUACCGGAUGUGCUUCUUGAUACUUCUGAUACCGAUUUCCAACACAACUGGAGGAGGCAAAAAUCUUAGACUCUCGUAAUAUUGAGUCGUAUCUUAACAAACUCCGACUACAUCUAGUGAGCCUCUUGAUACCAUCGCACAAGUCACAAGUACCCAGAGGCAGCGAUAGUCACUUAUUCGCUCUUUCAUCUUUCUUAUUCUUUGUUUCAAUCAUGUGGCGAUUGAAAUUGUCGGACUAUGUUUGCCUUUCUUCUCAUAUUGCUUAAUGGCGUAUUAGAUUUCGGUUACUGCUGCUGUUUUAAUCUAAGCUUUGCUACGUGCUAAAUAUAUCAACAUAGAUUGUCUAUGUAUCUGGCUGUUUUUAUGCGAGUAUAUUUGGUUAAUAUGUUUCCAACCAUUACAUUCAACGUUUCCUCGGAAUUUCAAUAUUAGUUUUUCAUUGUCCUACGUGCGAAAAUGUAAUUGGUACAUACGUGAUAAGCAUACCCUUUCUAUGGUUUCUAUAUUUCAAACCCAUCAUGGUUGGCCCUUUCUGCUUAUUGAAGUACUCGUACUGUUCGGUGAUAUUUUCUCUUGAUUCUCUAAUUAUAACCGAGCAAUGUAUUGUUCCCACAAGAAAAUACGACGUACAACGAUGUGUACGCUGAUCAGUUCCUACUAGCACUGAAUGGGAUAAACGAACGAUCUUAUCAGUUGGGAUCAUCAGUUGGCUGGUGCAGGAGAUCAUCAUUGUGUUGAUGAAUGAAGUUCAGGAACAGUUUGGUCGCUCGCCUGGUGCAUCGGAUGGAUAAGUGGAUGAUCCGUAUGCCUGGGAACGACGGUGCGGAGAAUGGUAAUAGCGGUGCCUUCUACCGGGGGUAACGUCAUGUAUUCUAUCAUGGAGAACGGGCCGAUAGUAUCUAUGGAUACCUCGUCGAACCGGUCUUGCCGGUGUCGUUGUUAAUACACUUUAUGUCCUCACUGGGGGGAAGUUUUUGUUUGUUUUGCAGGCCAAACAAGCCCUAACAUUCAUUGAUGCCUAGGUGCCCUCCUGUUGAUUCAUUAUGCUAUCGCUCUAAAAUGUGUUUAAUUUGCGCCUUGUUAGUUACCACGCUUGGUUUGUCAAACAUUAAUAUGGUGGUAUUCCUCAGAAUAUCAUUACCAAGUUUAAAUGUAUGAAUUCGGUGCGUGGACGCUGGAUUGCUCUUUUUGGCGAGAACCACGAGAGGCUCGCUUCUGGCGCUUGGGUACUUACGUACUCGAUCUUCACCGACACCAUCGUCUCGUUCUCGUCCAAUGUGCCACUUUUAGCCUCGCUAACGAUGGCGGCUCGCAUUGUAUCUUCCAAUGAGGCCACCUGCCGCGCCGCUUCGUUUGCGACUGAUGGUCGUCUAAGCUCGCUGGACGUGGCAGGACGUCCGCCAUCGCUGGCAACAUGCGUGUCGAUCUUUGCGUCGUCCUUCGUCGGAGCCGGCGAGCCUUUUGGGGAAUUCCGGAUGGCAUUUUCACCCGGGGCUCGUUCAUGAACUUAACUAUAUACGUAAUCGAGUAGUCCAAAGGCGUUCCUUAAUUUCUUACACUGUCACCAAAAGAUUCUUCUAUGGAAAUUGUUACUGGAAAGGUUUCCAGGGACCAGAAGCUGAAAGUUGAGAUAAAUGAAAGACGAACGCAUGUUACUCUCGUUUUAGCUAUAAUCAAUCUGACCAUGUUUAUUACUAUUCUUGGGUUUAUAUAACGACGAUUAAUCCCAAUUUCUUAACUCUCAUUCUCCCUUGACCUCCACCGUUUUCUCCCCCACUCAGCCUCACAUACUCCGCUUAUCGUCGUCCAUCCCGUUUCCUGUCCAAAUCCAUCCAACAUGACCGCCGACAAGUUCUUACGGCACUUUUACUGUCCGUAUGGUGUUCGUCAUCCACCGGGGAACUACUGAACUGAUACGGGAUAUCGUCAUCUCACCGUAACACUAUCCUCGCUAGUAGCUCUUUAUGCAAGUUGGUGUCUGAACAGAGUUACCGCGGAGUGGUGCUCUUACUCAGAUCAGCAAGCUCUCCUCCGGAGCACUGUUUCACCGAUGGAGGCGCGUGGUGGCCCGUACAAAACCAACCAAACCCUCACUUUUUUCACGCACAGCUUAGCUUAGCAGCUUAGCUCGGGUGAUAAUAGUCCACGUUAUAGACACGUUAGUCCACGUUAUAGACCAAUACCACGCCAGCAACCAGCACGCCAACCGGUGUCACCAUGUUCUUCCCACACAGAGUUUUGCAUUUCCAUCGAAGAAUGAACGCAUUUCCAUUGAAGAGAGCAAGGAAGCGAUACGGUAGUGUAGCAAAACACCUCUGUCUCUUUACCAUGUUCGGAUAUUGUCUAUUCGUAACCAUUCCAAAACAAAACUUGCACGCACAGCAUUAAAGUAAGCUAAGUGGAAACCAAUGCUUACCACUCUCUUAAUAAAAAAGUAAUCGGAUAAUAUCCGCCUGCAAGGAUCCUUUCGGGCGAAGACUCACGGAAGUGAUUGCUUGCAACAUUGCCACUAGUAAGAGCAAGAGCCCGGUAGCUUGCAAUAUUGGAAAUCCGGAAGGCGUCGAUCGAUGCAAUGAAACAGUUCGUGAUCGCCCUGCACUAACUGAGCAAUACCGAAGGUGUUAUUCAGACGACCGCGCCGAAGGAAGACGUCCAAACGAGUACUCGACAAGGUUUAUGUAGGUUUUAAGGAAAGUAAUUUAUCAUGUCUAGGCUGGUCACAUUCAGUACGGGUGAUCGAACUAUUUGAUGGUGACCUUUAUCAGUUCUAUUUCUACUUUUAGAGUCCGUUCGCAAUGCAGCAAUGCAAUAAGUGGAUACGAAUAUGGGUCACAGGAAAUCUUUACAGCCUCCUCAUUGGUAAGCUGAGCAAUUCCUUGCAAUGGGUGGGCUGCGUUAACAGAUUUUGGCCGCCAUUCUGAAAUUUUGUUCACAAAAGGGGCUGUUGAUAUUUCGUGCAGGGCACCAAAACGUUCAACUUCCUUUUUAAUGUGCGUGAGAAGAUGGUUUUUUAACACCUGUGAACAAGCGUUAUUGCGGGUGGUAAACUUAGCCAACAGUUCAUGGCCCUUCUGAUAAUAUGCUUUGUAGUAUGGUGUGGACAACAGUCUUAUACCAGUGAAGUGGUAAAGAUAGGUUUUCUAGCUUUCUUCAUCUAAUUGAGUUGGUGAAAUUAGCUGUGAUACUGUUCUAGCUGCCUGAAGUGUAUAUUCUUUGUUUUCAUUUAUGCCUCUGAUCUGGAAUUCCACUCGUCUGCUGUUUACGCGUAUUCGUUUACGCACAAGUUCUAUGUCAAAGUAAGCGUGAGCGGAUCGACUGCUCCCUUCAAGUUUAACUGGUCCGCCAUCGUCUGUUCAAUGAGCGUUGACGGGAAUCCGUUGUCCAGCAGGGCGGAGGUGCUUUUAGUCAUUUUCCCAUUCCUAAGCACUACCGGAAGGGUUUGGUAAUACACCAUUUAUCCGGUGUAAUGAAAAAGAACGGACUCAUCGAAGGGAGCAUGUAUUAAGGGGUGGUGUUUUAAUUUACAGUCGCACUCCCUUGCUGACCAUCAGUCUUCGAGAUUGUGUUUAGUGAAUUUCAGACACCCUAGGCACAAAUUAGAUUACUUUACAUCCCGUCCGUGCUAAGGUGAAUCGUAGGCCACUGCGUUGGCGCGGCACUCGGGAAUAGCUCUUUAACGUGGCUUGCUAUGAUUGCAGCAUCUACCUGCUGAGGCUGUCGGCUCCCACAAGCCCCCACCGCAUUGCAAUGGCAUACGCUUCCCCGAUGGGGGGAGGUCUAUCGUCCAACGAUUUUGCCAGCACCUCUUCCAAGCAUGACUUUUUGCGCCGCCGUAUCUCGUGCGUCAUCAGGCUGGUACUGAAGCCGCUCCCGCUCUUAUCUUGCUGCCAAUCUUGCGGACGUGUAUACCUUUCUUUGCCCACUUGCAUGCCAACUGAAUGCGGCGGCCCUGUGUGCCCGGGACAUCGUCUCGUUGCAGGACAGCGUUAUUCGGUGCCUCAUCUCUGCCAUCAUCGUGGUGGCUUCCCCAAACUUCACAGCAUCCAGCGUCAAAGUAGCGCACCUUCCACCGCGGCAGCACUGAUGCGUUCGUACCCAAUGGGCCGCUUCACACUUGUCCGCGACUCGCCGACUAGGAAUCUCACUUCGGCAUGGACUGUGAAAGGGUUGGGCGGUCGGUUGGCUGCCAUCCUGGAAGGCUGUGCUGACGGGCUCUGGCGUAGGUUAUGUCCACGAAGGAACAACGAUCAACUCGAUUGCCAAGAAACGUUGGUUUACGACCUUCAUUCCACAUCAGAAAUCCAAGAUCAUCCUCCAUUGCAGCGGAGAUCAUUCGUCCUCUGACGUUCUCCAUCCUCUUUUAUCCUCUGAUCGAUUUUAGAUUAUCUUUGAGAGAUUAUCGAAAAUUUAUACAACCUCAACUAACAACCGCUAUAUUCUUCGAGACUUCAUUUUUAACACUGCCGAUCCUCACGUUAUUUCUCUUAUUCUUCAUAACACUCGGCGAUUUCAAAAGCAAUCAAUUCACGAGGUCGCAGACCCCGUUGUGUUACAAUAUCUCAUCUUCCAACUGCCUUUGAAUGAUUUGCCUGAAGUGAACUGAUAAAAGCAAAUUCAAUGGCAUUUGACUGUUUGUCUUAUUCAAAGGAAGUGGGAUAGAUAGAGACUUUUGCAUCACUGUGAUAGAAACAUCCGGGAUCACUAGUGUUAAACCAGUAUGCUAGUCUGUCAGUUGUGAUAUAGGGUGAUGAUCUUACUUACUAUCCAUCAGCUAAUAGAAGGUCUGAGUAAUUACCACCGAACGCAUUGUAUUCUACAGUGUUGAGUACUAUGGACAACGAAUCACUCUCCACAACAUUCUCUCCCAUCCAGUGACACUCGGGAUACGGAUACAGUUUCCGCUGCCCUGUGGUGACUGACGUCGCCACAAAUCCAUCCGGGUUCAGCCCGAGUGCGAACUAUCUUGGGGAAGAUAGCCUGACCCUCGUAGUCGAAUCGACCAACCUGGUCAACCAUAACGGCGGUUGACUUGUGACACUUACCAAAGUGUCGGUCGAUGGUCUCGACGAGCGUAUCUUCGGUCGAUACGUCAUCGAACGGUCCGUCACGGCGAGCGUGGGCCGCCUUUCGAUUAAAGCUGCAACUCCAUGACAUCCUGGUUUUUUCGAACGUCCUCAUUCUCAAUCUCCUUUUGGCGUCUUUAGAUACGCAACUGUACUGACGGCCAGCUGCUGGUCCUGCCCGAUGCUGACUUCCACCUCUGCUGGGGGAUGAGAAACGAAACCUCACCAAUCUUGAGGGAUGCGAGAAUCUCCUCGUAGUUAUCAAAUUUGCAAAAAGAAUCGCGUAACUGGCGGUUCCUCUCCUGCAUUUCCUCAUGAAAGGCUUCAUUCUUUCGCGAACGAAACUUUUCGGCCUGCUUUUUCUCAGUUCCUAAUCCUUUCCGGUUCCGACUGGAAGGACCAGAGUUGUCUGCACGGACGUCAUCCGUAGCGGCAAUUGACUCGUCAAUCUGUGUCAUUGUGGGUUGGUACGGUUUGUUUUCGUAUUGCAUAACACGAAUUCCCGUAUCUACUAGCCAUCUUCCGGGAAUCGAAUCGACGGCUUCGAGGUGGCGAUAUGGCAUCGUGCAAACUGGACCAUCAGACUUUAUUAAAUGAAGCGGUUCUAAAUGCUUGAAGAAGUUGCCAAAUUUUACCAUGCGCGGCCUCGGAUGUCUGACCCGAAAAAAGCUAACUUUUUUUUUUCAUUGCCAUGCCCGUCCUGAGAUCGAGACCCGGGAAAAACCUUUCCUGUUUUUAAAUAAGAAAAUUAUUCUGAUUUGAUCAUUUUGAAUUACGAUUGCAUUUGCAGCAUUAAAUUGGAAAAACCGGCUUAAACCGGAACGCAGCACGGCAGCUGUAUUGUUGUAAUACCGUUUUUGUUGGUUACCUCCGGGUAUUGUUUAGGCGGUUUUGGUAUGUAUUUAAUGUGAGGAAAAGCAGCGGCGAUUGGAUUCCCAUGGUGAUGAGCCACAAUUUGUUUUCUUAUCCACGAGAUAAGGCGUUCGGAACUAUCCGUACUUAGUAGGAACAACGGACCGAAAGCUCGGACUUCAUCCAUACAAUAUGUGGUACGUUAUACAUAUUGUACCAGUUAAUCGUUCUUCAUUCGUCGGGGAUAUGUCCUGCAACAAAAAUCCAGACACAGCUGUGCCACCUCGUACAACGAUUCAAAAGAAGUAGUUGAUAGAAUGGUUACUGGCUGAUGCAAUUUGGUGAUUAUUGCCAGAUCUUCAAUAAUUCAGCGAUAAUAGUUUUGGAGGCUUACAGCGCUCUGCAUUCUCUUGUCAAACAAAUGGCAUUCGUCUCGGUGCCAAUCAGCCUUAUGAUGCUCCAUUAAUUUUCUCAUAGCCCCAAAAUAAAAAAUAUGUCGAGCGUCGCUCACUGGGUUUAGGUGGUAAAUUGGCGUUUCCGCCACGCGCUCAAGGGAAAUGCGAGCUAGCAUGGUCCAGCACUCUAAUCAGGGAUUUGCAAAUUUGUCCAAGUGCAUACCGUCUGAAUGCACAUCAUCAUUUGUCUAUCACGGUGUGAACGCCGAAGACUAUGAACCUGCGAAUGCUCUCCCUGGCCCCCGUCGCAACGGUGGGAGGGAUUGAGUAUUGAGACCUUUCGGAAGUGAAGCGCUGCUCUUUAGCUAGGAGAACGAGGGGGGGGGUCCUUCUCCGAACAAUGCUGUUUAGUAUUAACCGGAGCUUGCUUCAGCCAAGCCCGGUUUGCUUUAUUUGUUCUUCUUGUCUGUGUACAUCUUGGUCCUGCGAUCUCUAAGCCCUACGAUCCAUGAAGUAUAUGUGUGUGUUGCUGAAGACGAUAAGUUAGUAAUGCACGCUCUUUUCCUUCCUUGCGAUUCCAGCCGGCCGGUGAUCGCGCGCGCGCGCUCGUGCCACCCGACGCUUUUGACCUACGAUUUAUGAUCGGAUAUAACAUUCUCAGCAUCAUACACAUUUUCGUUAUCCCUUCAUUAUCACUAUACUUGAGACGGGAGUGUAAUGUUACUCCCAAGUAUUUAACCUUAUCAGCCCAUUUGACUUCACUUCCUUGUAUUUUGUUCCUUGGGCAGUAAUUUCUUUGAUUUCCUAUGUAGAAACAUGAUUGUUAUUCGGCCGGCUCGCGAAGGACGACAGCCAGGCCGGACACCAAAUAACGGUGGGACACUGUCGGUAGCCGACUCUUAGUUGCCCCUCUCUCUCGGGGGCCUAUCGAGUGUGUCGGAUUUCCGCUCUGGAAUUGAUUUCGGAUUCGUAACUGGGCCCUAGUUCCACCUCUCGUUCGGGAGGCUAUAGGCUACAUCGAGGACAAAAUUCAGAGAGCGUUCUGUUUCAAUUCCCGAUUUAUUAAUCGUUCCGGCCCUCUUUUAGACUCGGGGCCGGACGAUAUCCUGUCUCCCCCCGGGACACACUUCCCAUAACGCAUUCGCGUACAAUGCGAACUAUAAUCCGAUCAUCAUCUCAUCACUAUAACCCGUUAUCACAUAAUUAUCACUCGCAUGGAGGUAGGCCACCGCGUAACAAUGAUAGCCUGCGAUUUAGAGGAGUUAAUGCAGAUCUUCCAGUCUGAUAAAUAGUUAACAUAUACAUUGAGGCCUAUCUGUAGUUUUUUAACUACGUCUGUAGCUCUGCCUGUGUAGUGAACUGCUGUGUCGUCUGCAUAUAACGAUAUUACUCCACCUUCAGGUAAUUCCGGUAUAUCUGAGGUGUAUAUAAUGUACAGCAGAGGCCCUAGUACGCUACCCUGGGGAACACCAGCAGGGAUGUUUGUUGGGGCCUCGAUCGUUCGUGCGCCAUUCCUUUUAUUCUCUUCCAGUGCCGUCAUUCGGCCCCACUACCUUACAAUGCACCCACACUCACCUUUUUAGAGAACGAAGAGGCAUUCAUCUGUUGGAAUUUUUGAGAAAUUCACCUUAGCGGUGCUCCUGAUUGUCUCCAUGGUUUUCCGGCCUAGCAACUACCGGCACUUGUCAUAUGCCCUCGUGGCUCUAAUUGAAACUUGUUUCAACGGUCUGCAAUUCAGACCUAAAUAUAGUUAAAUCUACUAACAUCCUAACAAUAUUCCUUUUCCCACUUUUGUACCUUUUUUUAUACGGGAAAGGAACUUAAUUCCUUCGUAGAAUUCAUAGAGAACGAGAAGCAAUUCCUAUUUCAGUAUUUUUUGUUCAGUAACAUGAAGCACUUCAUGCUUGAGUAAUACAAGUUGUUGUGAAUCAUCCAAGCCAAGCCAUACACGCUGCUCUAAUUGCUUUUCGUACAAGAGAGCUAAAAUUUAAGAGCACUUUGCUCAAAGAUUAUAAAAUGAAAUGACGUUUAAACCAAAACCGCGUGCAUUUAUUCAUCAUAAUUAAUGUGUUAACAAUAAUAGUCGCCUGGAUGUCCAAGACGUAGGAAUGCCAAUACAAACGAUUAGAUUUUAAAUAGCCUGAUACAAUAAUUUUAGCUCCUUCGUUUUUGUUAUAAAAAGACAGAAAAAGCCAUAGGUUCAAUACGUUCACGGCACUUAUUUGAAUUACGUACGUUAGAUGAGAAUGUUUCACAUUGAAACUUGAAGAACUCUUAUUACUAUCGACCGAAAACGGAACAUUGUUACACAUUUCUAGUUACACCAACAACUAGAAUCACAGAACAAAAAAUUGGAUUUGACCACACAAGGAAAGAUUGUCAUUGCAAUGCAGAUUCCUUCGCAUUAUUCAACGUUAAAGUAAAAGCAACCUCAAUCUCAACGAACGUCAUCACUGAGCUCGAGAUAAAAUUCCGAGGAAGCUUCAAUUCAUCGGGCAAUCACCCAGCAUCAACAGACAUGUGGAACAUGUCUCAUCUACAGACACCUUCAGAGAACGAGAACGCUUCAUCGCUCCCACGAAACGUCGAGUAGAAAAUGCCUAAUACCAACGAGAAGCUACAUGGAAUACGAUUCAACUAAACUCAAGAAUUAUCAAACACAAAGGGAGCCAACUCUUCGGUACAAUUUCAUCAUCUUCACGGAAACCUCACAAUUCACGAAAACCCCGGCAGAGUAUCAAUUCCAAGCAGCUUUUUCUAUGGGAGUUGGGUGUACGAAGAAAUAACAUAUUCCAUAAAUAAUGUUAGGAAACAGGAUCACUUUUAGUGAUUAGGAUAAUAGUGUAGGGAAUAGAAUGCAGCUUUGGUCACCUAAUAUCCUCGAACCAUAUCUCAGCUUGAUCACUUCAAUGAUCCGCCACAGCCUUGGUGAUAAGAAAACCAUGUUAUCUGCCAUCACUUCCAACAAAAUCAGAAAAGAGAGAAUGUCAUUGAAAAUGAAUACACCAGAAGACAGCACGCUAAAGCAACAUCAUCACCAGAAGCUCACAGACAACGUUACUGCAUUACUUAAUCAGCAUUGGACAAGAUGUAAUUCCUGUGGAGCGCAGUGUCAAUAGAUUUACGCCGCAUCCGUGUUAGACGCAUGGAAUACUCCAACAAACAACACUGACUACAAUGGAUCUUUGGCGUCGACAAGAAAAGAGUGCAGCAUUACAACGAUACAAUGCAUAAUUAUUCUAAAUCAUUCGCUUUGAAAUUCAUACCAGCUAAUGUGGAAGAAAAGAGGGAGAAACAGUCAGUUCCGG